rnacentral:sRNA from 1 species
GCCGGGCGUGGUGGCGCAUGCCUGUGAUCCCAGCUACUCAGGAGGCUGAGGCAGGAGAAUCACUUGAACCCAGGAGCUGGAGGUUGCAGUGCGCUGAGAUCACACCACUGCACUCCAGCCUGGGCAACAGUGUGAGACUCUGUCUCAA